UGGGGGAUAUUGCACAAUGGGCGAAAGCCUGAUGCAGCGACGCCGCGUGGGGGAUGAAGGCCUUCGGGUUGUAAACUUCUUUUGCUCUGAACAAGGCAUGCCUUUGGGGUGUGUUGAGUGUAGGGGUUGAUUAGCGCCGGCUAACUACGUGCCAGCAGCCGCGGUAAUACGUAGGGCGCGAGCGUUGUCCGGAAUUAUUGGGCGUAAAGGGCUUGUAGGUGGCUGGUUGCGUCUGUCGUGAAAGCUCAUGGCUUAACUGUGGGUUUGCGGUGGGUACGGGCUGGCUUUAGUGCAGUAGGGGAGGCUGGAAUUCCUGGUGUAGCGGUGGAAUGCGCAGAUAUCAGGAGGAAUACCGGUGGCGAAGGCGGGUCUCUGGGCUGUUACUGACGCUGAGGAGCGAAAGCGUGGGGAGCGAACAGG
rnacentral:rRNA from 1 species